CAGUAGCCACGGGAAUACGAAGGGUGCAAGCGUUACUCAGAAUUACUGGGCGUAAAGCGUGCGUAGGUGGUGGUUUAAGUCCGUUGUGAAAGCCCUGGGCUCAACCUGGGAAUUGCAGUGGAUACUGGGUCACUAGAGUGUGGUAGAGGAUAGUGGAAUUUCCGGUGUAGCAGUGAAAUGCGUAGAGAUCGGAAGGAACAUCUGUGGCGAAGGCGACUAUCUGGGCCAACACUGACACUGAGGCACGAAAGCGUGGGGAGCAAACAGGAUUAGAUACCCGCGUAGUCCCUGUCUCUUAUAC
rnacentral:rRNA from 1 species